rnacentral:sRNA from 1 species
GCCGGGUGUGGUGGCUGGCGCCUGUAGUCCCAGCGACUUGGGAGGCUGAGGCAGGAGAAUGGCGUGAACCAGGGAGGCAGAGCUUGCAGUGAGCUGAGAUCGCACCACUGCACUCCAGCCUGGGUGACAGAGCAAGGCUUUGUUUCAAAAAAAAGACACUAAAAGCCAAAUGCCAAGCAUGUGGAGGCUAAUCAGAAAUUUGUUUGUUUUUGAGACGGAGACUCACUAUGUCGCCCAGGCUGGAGUGCAGUGGCGCAAUCUCAGCCCACUGCAAGCUCUGUCUCCUGGGUUCACAUCAUUCUCUUGCCUCAG